ACGAACGCUGGCGGCGUGCCUAAUACAUGCAAGUUGAGCGCUGAAGGUUGGUACUUGUACCAACUGGAUGAGCAGCGAACGGGUGAGUAACGCGUGGGGAAUCUGCCUUUGAGCGGGGGACAACAUUUGGAAACGAAUGCUAAUACCGCAUAAAAACUUUAAACACAAGUUUUAAGUUUGAAAGAUGCAAUUGCAUCACUCAAAGAUGAUCCCGCGUUGUAUUAGCUAGUUGGUGAGGUAAAGGCUCACCAAGGCGAUGAUACAUAGCCGACCUGAGAGGGUGAUCGGCCACAUUGGGACUGAGACACGGCCCAAACUCCUACGGGAGGCAGCAGUAGGGAAUCUUCGGCAAUGGACGAAAGUCUGACCGAGCAACGCCGCGUGAGUGAAGAAGGUUUUCGGAUCGUAAAACUCUGUUGGUAGAGAAGAACGUUGGUGAGAGUGGAAAGCUCAUCAAGUGACGGUAACUAUCCAGAAAGGGACGGCUAACUACGUG
rnacentral:rRNA from 1 species